UACGUAGGGCGCAAGCGUUGUCCGGAAUUAUUGGGCGUAAAGAGCUCGUAGGCGGUCUGUCGCGUCUGUUGUGAAAACUCGAGGCUCAACCCCGGCCUGCAGCCGAUACGGGCAGACUAGAGUUCGGCAGGGGAGACUGGAAUUCCUGGUGUAGCGGUGAAAUGCGCAGAUAUCAGGAAGAACACCCGUGGCGAAGGCGGUUCUCUGGGACGGUACUGACGCUGAGACGCGAAAGCGUGGGGAGCGAACAGG
rnacentral:rRNA from 1 species